rnacentral:lncRNA from 1 species
GAAUUAAAUAUUUCCUCAACUAUGUAUAAUACCAAUUGACGAGGCUCUCAUACCAAGCGACAAGAUCACUCUCCAAGGCAUGCCAAGCACUUAGCUAGUAAGUAUACAGGACAUGAAACACUGAUACUUAGGCAAUACAUAUUUCCACCAUAUUUAGUUGAUCUCAUGUGGUGAUCAGCAUUAGAUAGCCAGUAAAUAAAAUGGCAUGAGCAUUGUCAGAUGCGGUAAACGAUAGUGGAAGAGAGACCAUAGAUAGAUUUCAUGAAGUGCAGAACAUAUCAGCAUCUAAUUGGUAUGAUUCGAUCUGUCAUUCUCAAGUUCCAGGUGUCUUCCAUGCCUACAG